rnacentral:snRNA from 1 species
AGCUUUGCACAGUGGCAAUAUCGUAGCCAGUGAGGUUUAUCAGAGGUGCGAUUAUUGCUAAUUAAAAAAAGAAAAAGAAAAGAAAGCAUCCCAGCCCAGUCC